CUGAAUCRGAAACUUGUCCAAGUUCUUACCGAGCAUGCAUAGGAAUUCUCCGCAUGACUGAACGUUCUGACGAAGCAAGCUCGCCCUUGAGUGAUGGAGGCCUUCCGGUCGUUAAACGUUCUGUUGUUAGGGAAGAACAAAUGCCUAGCUUGAAUUAAUGCUGGUCACCGUAGACGGGAGCCUAAUUCAGAUAAGGCUAUUGCUAAGUAUCGUCGACCAGCAGCUGCGGUAAUACGUAGGGUGGCAAGACGUUAUCCGGAAUUAUUGGGCGUAAAGCGGGCGCCAGGUGGAUUUCUUAAGUCUUAUUGGGAAAGCCCCCGGCUCCACCCGGGGAGGGGUCAUUGGAAACUGGGAGACUUGAGUGCAGAAGGAGGAAAAGUGGAAUUCCAUGGGUAGCGGUGAAAAUGCGUAGAGAUAUGSAGGAACACCAGUGGCGAAGGCGACUUUCUGGUCUGUAACUGACACUGAGGCGCGAAAGCGUGGGGAGCAAACAGGAUUAGAUAUCCUGGUAGUCCACGCCGUAAUCGAUGAGUGCUAAGUGUUAGAGGGUUUCCGCCCUUUAGUGCUGAAGUUCACGCAUUAAGCACUCUGCCUGGGGAGUACGGCCGCAAGGCUGAAACUCAAAGGAAUUGACGGGSGCCCGCACAAGCGGUGGAGCAUGUGGUUUAAUUCGAAGCAACGCGAAGAACCUUACCAGGUCUUGACAUCCUCUGAAAACCCUAGAGAUAGGGCUUCUCCUUCGGGAGCAGAGUGACAGGUGGUGCAUGGUUGUCGUCAGCUCGUGUCGUGAGAUGUUGGGUUAAGUCCCGCAACGAGCGCAACCCUUGAUCUUAGUUGCCAUCAUUAAGUUGGGCACUCUAAGGUGACUGCCGGUGACAAACCGGAGGAAGGUGGGGAUGACGUCAAAUCAUCAUGCCCCUUAUGACCUGGGCUACACACGUGCUACAAUGGACGGUACAAAGAGCUGCAAGACCGCGAGGUGGAGCUAAUCUCAUAAAACCGUUCUCAGUUCGGAUUGUAGGCUGCAACUCGCCUACAUGAAGCUGGAAUCGCUAGUAAUCGCGGAUCAGCAUGCCGCGGUGAAUACGUUCCCGGGCCUUGUACACACCGCCCGUCACACCACGAGAGUUUGUAACACCCGAAGUCGGUGGGGUAACCUUUAUGGAGCCAGCCGCCUAAGUGACAAUUCCG
rnacentral:rRNA from 1 species